AGAGUUUGAUCAUGGCUCAGAUUGAACGCUGGCGGCAUGCCUUACACAUGCAAGUCGAACGGCAGCGCGGGGGCAACCCUGGCGGCGAGUGGCGAACGGGUGAGUAAUACAUCGGAACGUGUCCUGGAGUGGGGGAUAGCUCGGCGAAAGCCGGAUUAAUACCGCAUACGCUCUAUGGAGGAAAGCGGGGGACCUUCGGGCCUCGCGCUCAAGGAGCGGCCGAUGGCGGAUUAGCUAGUUGGUAGGGUAAAGGCCUACCAAGGCGACGAUCCGUAGCUGGUCUGAGAGGACGACCAGCCACACUGGGACUGAGACACGGCCCAGACUCCUACGGGAGGCAGCAGUGGGGAAUUUUGGACAAUGGGGGAAACCCUGAUCCAGCAAUGCCGCGUGUGUGAAGAAGGCCUUCGGGUUGUAAAGCACUUUUGUCCGGAAAGAAAUCCUGUUCGUUAAUACCGAGCGGGGAUGACGGUACCGGAAGAAUAAGCACCGGCUAACUACGUGCCAGCAGCCGCGGUAAUACGUAGGGUGCGAGCGUUAAUCGGAAUUACUGGGCGUAAAGCGUGCGCAGGCGGUUUGCUAAGACCGAUGUGAAAUCCCCGGGCUCAACCUGGGAACUGCAUUGGUGACUGGCAGGCUAGAGUAUGGCAGAGGGGGGUAGAAUUCCACGUAGCAGUGAAAUGCGUAGAGAUGUGGAGGAAUACCGAUGGCGAAGGCAGCCCCCUGGGCCAAUACUGACGCUCAUGCACGAAAGCGUGGGGAGCAAACAGGAUUAGAUACCCCUGUAGUCC
rnacentral:rRNA from 1 species